GCAACACCGUGUGACUUCCAUCAGCCUAUUCGAGUCCAUUUGUCUGUACUGGUAGCGAGCAUAGUUUAGCGGACUGUUUUGACUGAACCGAGCCCUCAAUUGGCCAAAUCCGAACAGCGAAAUCGAAGCCGCUAAAAGAUUCUCGAGGCCAGACAUGUUGCACACGAGGUUAGCCAAUCAGUCACUAGCCAAGGCGCAAUCGCUUAUUUUUCAUUGGAGCUUAGGUAGAGUUUCGGAGGGGCCAAACACGCCGUAAGCAUGGGCAAGUUUGGUGGCGGAGGUGGUUGUGGUUGUGGUUGUGCUGCUGCUGGCAAAACAAAACCCGUGCGUGCAAGCAGAAAUCAGGAUGAACAAACAAAUAAAAUAAACAAAUA
rnacentral:sRNA from 1 species